UACGUAGGGGGCAAGCGUUGUCCGGAUUUAUUGGGCGUAAAGAGCGUGUAGGCGGCCAGAUAGGUCCGUUGUGAAAACUGGAGGCUUAACCUCCAGCUGUCGAUGGAAACCAUCUGGCUAGAGUCCGGAAGAGGAGAGUGGAAUUCCUGGUGUAGCGGUGAAAUGCGCAGAUAUCAGGAAGAACACCCGUGGCGAAGGCGGCUCACUGGGUCUUCUCUGACGCUGAUGCACGAAAGCUAGGGGAGCAAACGGG
rnacentral:rRNA from 1 species